rnacentral:rRNA from 1 species
AUUGAACGCUGGCGGCAGGCCUAACACAUGCAAGUCGAAUGGUAACAGGAAACAGCUUGCUGUUUCGCUGACGAGUGGCGGACCGGUGAGUAAUGUCUGGGAAACUGCCUGAUGGAGGGGGAUAACUACUGGAAACGGUAGCUAAUACCGCAUAACGUCGCAAGACCAAAGAGGGGGACCUUCGGGCCUCUUGCCAUCAGAUGUGCCCAGAUGGGAUUAGCUAGUAGGUGGGGUAACGGCUCACCUAGGCGACGAUCCCUAGCUGGUCUGAGAGGAUGACCAGCCACACUGGAACUGAGACACGGUCCAGACUCCUACGGGAGGCAGCAGUGGGGAAUAUUGCACAAUGGGCGCAAGCCUGAUGCAGCCAUGCCGCGUGUAUGAAGAAGGCCUUCGGGUUGUAAAGUACUUUCAGCGGGGAGGAAGGGAGUAAAGUUAAUACCUUUGCUCAUUGACGUUACCCGCAGAAGAAGCACCGGCUAACUCCGUG